rnacentral:misc_RNA from 1 species
CACUGCAGGGCGCAGCAGUGAAAUUUUGGACAAUGGGAAACCCUGAUCAGCCAUCCGCGUGUGCGAUGAAGGCCUUCCGGAGUUUGUAAAGCACUUUUGGCAGGAAGAAAAACGGCGGAUGCUUUGAUGCAACUGACGGUACCUGCAGAAUAAGCACCGGCUAACUACGUGCCAGCAGCCGCGGUAAUACGUAGGGUGCAAGCGUUAAUCGGAGUUACUGAGGCGCUAAAGCGUGCGCAGGCGGUUCGGAAAGAAAGAUGUAGAAAUCCCAGGCUUAACUUUGGAACUGCAUUUUAACUACCGAGCUAGUGUGUGUCGAAAGGGAGGUGGAAUUCCGCGUGUAGCAGUGAAAUGCGUAUAUGCGGAGAAGACACCGAUGGCGAAAGCCUCCUGGGAUAACACUGACGCUCAUACACAAAAAGCGUGGGAGCAAACAGGAUUAGAUACCCUCGUAGUCCCUGUUACUACCAUUGUACU